UGCAGUCGAGCGGAAGAGAGAAGCUUGCUUCUCUUGAGAGCGGCGGACGGGUGAGUAAUGCCUAGGAAUCUGCCUGGUAGUGGGGGAUAACGUUCGGAAACGGACGCUAAUACCGCAUACGUCCUACGGGAGAAAGCAGGGGACCUUCGGGCCUUGCGCUAUCAGAUGAGCCUAGGUCGGAUUAGCUAGUUGGUGGGGUAAUGGCUCACCAAGGCGACGAUCCGUAACUGGUCUGAGAGGAUGAUCAGUCACACUGGAACUGAGACACGGUCCAGACUCCUACGGGAGGCAGCAGUGGGGAAUAUUGGACAAUGGGCGAAAGCCUGAUCCAGCCAUGCCGCGUGUGUGAAGAAGGUCUUCGGAUUGUAAAGCACUUUAAGUUGGGAGGAAGGGCAGUUGCCUAAUACGUAACUGUUUUGACGUUACCGACAGAAUAAGCACCGGCUAACUCUGUGCCAGCAGCCGCGGUAAUACAGAGGGUGCAAGCGUUAAUCGGAAUUACUGGGCGUAAAGCGCGCGUAGGUGGUUUGUUAAGUUGGAUGUGAAAUCCCCGGGCUCAACCUGGGAACUGCAUUCAAAACUGACUGACUAGAGUAUGGUAGAGGGUGGUGGAAUUUCCUGUGUAGCGGUGAAAUGCGUAGAUAUAGGAAGGAACACCAGUGGCGAAGGCGACCACCUGGACUGAUACUGACACUGAGGUGCGAAAGCGUGGGAGCAAACAGGAUUAGAUACCCUGGUAGUCCACGCCGUAACGAUGUCAACUAGCCGUUGGGAGCCUUGAGCUCUUAGUGGCGCAGCUAACGCAUUAAGUUGACCGCCUGGGGAGUACGGCCGCAAGGUUAAAACUCAAAUGAAUUGACGGGGGCCCGCACAAGCGGUGGAGCAUGUGGUUUAAUUCGAAGCAACGCGAAGAACCUUACCAGGCCUU
rnacentral:rRNA from 1 species